UCCGCUGCGAGGGGCGCAUGCCGCUGCCAACUUCUUUCUCUACACCACAAUGACAAAUCAGACGUUUUCAAGGCCGAUGAGAGGAUUGGCUUCAAUAGAUGCAGUAGCUUGAUGGUUUGGCAGAAGACGGUGCACCAUGCCGCAUGCCGUCGCUGAUGACACCGGGUAGGAAUUGGUGGUGCUGAAUUCCUUCUCUCACCAGACCGCGUGGCGGGAAGCAGGACAAUGGGGUCCCCUUUCUCACUUUGGCCUGACGGCCAGCUCCCCCUCCUCCUACCAAAUUCAGUGACCGCCGCCGCUGAUUCACGCGGGACAAUGCAUCUUCCUUUACUAUACAUCCUAAUGAUUUGAGAGGAGUCUGAAAGGCACAACAGAUUUUCUCCACCUAUUCUGAGUAUUUGACUAUCAGCUUCGCGUCCUAGCUCAUUAUCAGCAAUAAGCCAUUUGGGAGUGAGAGUUGUCGGAUGCCAUUGCCAUGCUAUCAAGUCUGACCCGAGAGGAAUUGCCGAAAUUUUCAGCAAAAAAAACGUCAGUAAAGGUGACCUCUUCUCCUUUUCCCGUUAAUCCUUUCUCUUCGUUUGACUUAGACAAAUAUUGGCAACAUAUAUUAGUGGCCAUCUGUUACACAUGCAGCAAUUGUGUGUCAUUCCAUAUACAAAAAAACAACAACAGUGGUAACCUUCCAAGCUUACAUUGAGGACUACUUAUGUACGCCAUAUUUAGAACAGUACAUUUACAGUGAUCAAACAAAUGAUAACUACAUGGUAAAGUAAGAACUAAAAAUAAAGUUGUACAUGUUCGGAUUAGCAGUAAAAGAAAGUGCUCUUGAUGCUUGUUUCCGUGUGCAGCCCCCAAAAUCUGAAGUGUGUUUUUUAUGAUUGUUUCCGUGUGAAGCUCCUAAAACUCUGUAUAAAAUUUGACAAAAAGAAAAAGGGGUGAUAUUCAAGCUUAUUUUCCGAGAUAGAGAACUGCCUACUUGUGCCAUACUCAGAACAGUACAUUUAGGGUACUCAGACCAACCUAUACUAUAUGAUAUGACAAAUUAAGAACUGAAAACAUAGCUGUAUAUGUUUGGAUUAUCAGUAAAAAAAUGUUCUUGAUGCUGCUCACUAAGGUUAGCAAGUAGUGCAGACAUGAGAUUCUAAACUUUAUAUUAAUGGUCAUCCUAUUGGUGACAAAUCACUCUCUUGCAAAACAACAAGAAUAAUGUUUCUUCUUAAAUGUUACUUUUGUAGUAGACUACAGAUAAAUAACAUUUGUCUGAUGCAUAAACUAAAUAAAUCAGGGAACAUUAAACACAUGUAAAAUGGAACUGAUGUAAUUUACUCUGCAUUGAUCCUGGGUUUUCUUCAUCCUCACUGAUACAAAUCUUGCUUAAUUCUUUUUGAACAAAUGAUGUAGCAAAUAUGCAUACGAAUGCAUCAUGCCAAAAGCACAUCAUGGGUGGGCAGAAGACAGUACCUAGUUUCCUAAAAAAUGAAGAUCCCCGUGCGUUAGUUUGCCCAAACCAAACCCACAUGUGCCUAUAAAGGGCGAAUUGAUAAGGAGGUAAACCAGAAACAUAUCAUGUCAAGCAACCAGGAAACAUAGACCUACGGACAUGAGCCCAAGAUGGGGGCACAAAUUAACUGUACUGGAAAUGUGUGAGAGUAUGUAGACAUGCAAAAAAAGAGUCAAAAAGGAAGUCAUGGAAGCACAUCAGGCAAGUUAUCACAUUCUGAGUUCUCUUAUGUGGAUAGGGAUGCACAGUCAUCAGUGUGUAGUGUUACAGACCAGCAGGCUUAAUUUGUAUGGAAAUAAUAUAAUGGAAUGAACCUAGAUUUACUCUUUAACAACCCUGCAAUAACUGUAAACUCAAUGCUUUGUAUUACUUGUGCUGACUUCAUCACCUUCUAAGUAGACAAAUUUGAACUUAAAAUCUGAAAGAAAAAGAUAAGAAUCCAUUUAAAUGUUGACCUGAAUCUCCCUAUAGUUACUAAAUCCAGAUAACAUAACCAUUGUAUAUUGAUCAUGGCCUAUCUUUUCAAUUUUUUUUAAGAAACUCACUGUUGGGGACAAAAUUAGCAUCGGUUUAUCACCUGAGAGAAUACCUUGUAAGGUAAAGUUCUUACUAACAUCAAGCGGUUCUUUGUAGCUAUCUGAUGACCACAGUGAUGGAUAGUGAACACCGCCGCGGUUCUUUGUAGCUAUCUGAUGGCAACAGUGAUGGAUAGUGAACACCGCCGAAAAAAUACAGUAUCCACAACUUUCAGUUAUAUGGGCUAUGUAAAUUAAGUUGCAGAAAAUGAACUCCACUAAGGUAUGUUGACUCUACCCUCAGUAGAUAAAAAUGUGCCUUAUUGCUACAGAUGACAUCAUAUAGUUCUAGAGCAUAUUAUGGCAUUAGCUGGAACAGAUUUACAAACUAUUGUGAAAUAUCGAAGCCGGUGUGACGUGUUAUAGCAGUCAUUUUGCAAUGUACAUGAGCAAAUUUUCUAUUUACAAUGUGAUUCAUUAAAUUCCUACAAACAUAAAAGCUUAGCAGCCUUUAUUCUGUAAAUAUGUUUAAUAUGCAUUUCAAAUAAUGGAUGCAUAUGCACCCUGGUGCAGAAACACCCUGUCCGUUGUUGUUCCUUCCUUACUUUUGCUACUUUGGGCAUAGCCGUACAAUGUUACUUAGUAUAUCUUGCAGUUUUCUUGAUUAUAUAAUUGUUUGUCUAAAAAACGUAUUAUUAUUUUGCCGCCUGAUUUUUAUCGCCAUCGUAUCAAAUGUAAUCGGUGCGAAUUCAACGAGACAAUAUGUUUUAAAUGGGCUGAAAAAUUUAUAGUGAAUAUAUGACUGAAUGUAACAACGCGUUGCAUUUUUUAUUUCCUUACCUUUAUUUUGUCAUCUCUUUCCCAAUUGACUAUUGGUUAAUUUAUCUUUACAUUUUUAACGGUGUUAAGGCUUGGUGAUGCAAGUCCUAGUUAGAUUUACAUAACCUUUCUAUUGUUGCUUUCAACAGAAUUAACAACCCUUAGCUGCUAUGGUAUAUUUUUCUCAUGUUUUUCUGGUUUUGUAUAAAUGUUUGUUUCUCUGAUUGCAAUUUAUUGUGGUUCGCUACGUUUUGUAAAAUCAAAGAAGAUUUAUUAUCAUUUUACCACUUACACACAAGUCUUAAUGCAUUGAAUAUUAGUUAAUUUAUCUUUUCAUUUGUAGCGGUGUUAGCUCUUGGUGAUGCAAAGUCCUAAUUAGAUUUACAUUUUCGCUGUGAUGUGACUUUUAAGGACCAUGCUGCGAGAAUCCAUUGCCUAUGCAGUAAUACAGAUGCUGAUGAUUUUAACGUUUUUCCUUGUUUUUGUUGCUCUCGGCAGAAUCAACAACUAUUAAUUGUUAUAAUAUAUUUUCCUCAUGUUUUCUUGGUUGUAUAUAAACGUUUGUUUUUCUGUUUGUGGUUCGAAAUAAUUGUAAAACCUAAAAACAUUAUGAUCA